GCCGGAGUGGCGGAACUGGCAGACGCGCCAGCUUGAGGGGCUGGUGGGAUUUUUUCUCGUGCAGGUUCAAAUCCUGUCUCCGGCA
rnacentral:tRNA from 3 species